rnacentral:tRNA from 1 species
UCAGGUAGCUCAGUCGGUAGAGCAGAGGACUGAAAAUCCUUGUGUCGACGGUUCGAUUCCGCCCCUGAC